rnacentral:rRNA from 1 species
CCUACGGGUGGCAGCAGUGGGGAAUAUUGCGCAAUGGGCGAAAGCUUGACGCAGCGACGCCGCGUGAGGGAUGAAGGUCUUCGGAUCGUAAACCUCUGUCAGCAGGGAAGAACGGUCACUGUGCUAAUCAGCAGUGAAUUGACGGUACCUGCAAAGGAAGCACUGGCUAACUCAGUGCCAGCAGCCGCGGUAAUACGGAGGGUGCGAGCGUUAAUCGGAAUUAUUGGGCGUAAAGCGCUCGUAGGCGGUAUGUCAAGUCAGGGGUGAAAUCCCCGGGCUCAACGUGGGAACUGCCUUGGAAACUGGCAAACUGGAGUGUGUGAGAGGAUAGUGGAAUUCCAGGUGAAGGAGUGAAAUCCGUAGAUAUCUGGAGGAACAUCAGUGGCGAAGGCGACUAUCUGGCACAUAACUGACGCUGAGGAGCGAAAGCGUGGGUAGCAAACAGGAUUAGAUACCCUUGUAGUC